rnacentral:lncRNA from 1 species
UAUUAUUUUGAAAUCAAGCAUGUAGGAAGACUGUUCUGGACCAGGCAGUCCUGAAUUUUAUUAUAAAGGACUGCCAACCCCUUGUGGAGAGUGAGGGGUUCAGGGAGCUGGUUCAGGUCCUUCAUACAUUUUGCCAACCAGAAAGGUUUAUAUAGACAAUGUCUCAUCAGGUAGCUGAUGUUAAGUACUGCAUACUGAUUUAAUUUUGUUUGUUAGCCAAAAACCAUGCGGAGGAACUCGAACGAGUGAAAACGGAGUGUGCUGCAGUAAUUGCCCCCACAACAUCUGAGCCACAGCCUGGACCUUCAUCAGAGCAGUCCCCUGUUCCAGAAAACCUGUGGCAGCGGCUCGAUGAAGAAGUUGGCAGACAAACCAACAAUGCAACAGUGGACUCCAUCAUUGAGGUCCAGCGCUACUUGGCGGAGAGAAACAUUACAAGAUUAGAGGAUCCUCUAACGUACUGAGGGAAUAGGAAGACAUCUUAUCUGAACCUUUUCCACCUGGCUUUACAGUUUUUGUGUACCCCAGCUUCAUCUGUGCCCUGUGAGAAUGUGUUUUCCAAAGCUGGGAAAAUGGUGUCAAAAAAACGCAAUAGACUGAAUGCAAAAAUAUUGGAUAAAGUUAUUUUUCUGAAUAGAAAUUUAUAAUAAACUCUGAGUCAGUUACAUUUAAAUGGGUAAUAUUACAUUCACAAUACUUUUAUUUUAAUUUUCACUUAAUGUCAUUCACAAUAUAUUUUAAAGAUGUCUACAAUAUUUGAAAUGUAAAAGAUAUAAAAUGAUUCCAUGGAAAGUACAAUACCUUACAGUGUAUACAAGUAUGACUAGGUCAUUGAAUCAGUGUCUGUUGUGAGUCUCAAGUAAGUUGCCUGUAAUGAUAUUUAAGGUCCAGCAGGUGUCAGUAUGGAGCAAAACAGCAACACUGUGUCGACACAGUAUCGAUACAGUUUGGGGAAUGUGCUGAAACGCUUCACGAGGCCUCAUCUACCCAUCACUACUAAGAACUAACGAAGACAGAUCAAAAAAUUAAAGAUUAAUAAUACAAAACAGAAAACACUGGGUCAUUGACCCAGGACCAUGACAGAAACGCAAGGACACUGAGGGCUGAGGUAACACAGGGGAAGACAAGCAGAGGGCACACAGGGCAUGACAAAUAGACGCUCCGGCAAAGAACAGAGGUAAACACACACACACAAGGUAACGAGGAAAUGGCACACAGGAGGGAGACACAGCUGAACCUAAUUAGAUGAGACUGGGAGGAAGCAAACCAGAAAACAUGAACAUAGAACCAAAAACACUAGACACAACACAAAGAAGCCAGAGAGAACAGUUAAACACUGGGAAGGAUAACAAAUACCCCCAAACUAGCAAA